GUGUUCGGGUUGUCAUGCCAAUGGCACUGCCCGGUAGCUAAAUGCGGAAGAGAUAAGUGCUGAAAGCAUCUAAGCACGAAACUUGCCCCGAGAUGAGUUCUCCCUGAGACUUUAAGUCUCCUGAAGGAACGUUGAAGACGACGACGUUGAUAGGCCGGGUGUGUAAGCGCAGCGAUGCGUUGAGCUAACCGGUACUAAUGAACCGUGAGGCUUAACCUU
rnacentral:rRNA from 1 species